GACCGGAAUCCGGACACCUGCCCUGAUUUGUGUUUAACAUGAUUAGCAAUAUCAAUGUUUAGAAAGUUAGCAGUGUGCUUCCGUAUUGAUAGAGGCUAAGCAUAUAGCCUAAACGUUGACGUAUCGCACACAUAGAAUGCAUUGGCUAACAUACACAGACUGAUUUCACUGUUAGAAACCUGAUGUAAUGUUUGUAUAAAUUUAUGAAACAAGUGUGUAUAUAUAAAACGAUGGUUGUUCAUGAAGACAAGAAACGUUCUUGAACACUUUAUUAGGACACCUGGACUGUACAGAAUAGACUUUGUAUAAUAGGCACAACAGGUGCCUUUAUAAAAAUUAUAAAAAGACAUUCCGCUGCUUGCCAAACACGAGGAAAACGGGAAGAUGGGGCGGUAUUGGGAGGAUGAUGAGGACUGGGCGCACGCCCGGUACAGGAGGCGCCGCAGGCCUACACGAGGCUUCUGGGAGCGCGAUGGCGUGGCACAGGGGCCCGAACGGAGACAUCUCCUGGGGGCCAAUGAAUCACAGACCUUGAGGCCAGGGAGACAGACUAAAUUACAUGACCUACUGUGGUGUUUGUCUUCACUCGCGCCUGCGGUGGAAAAAAAAAAAAAAGCGAUGCUUCGAGUAUGGCAGUAC